UGUGCAAAGCGUCUUUUCCUUCGCUUCGUUAACUGUCACUCUGGCUUCUGGCGUCUCACGGUCUCACAUCAUGCACGGUCUAGCAAAUGAAGAGAUGGCAUCGAACGAGACAACGUCGCACGAUAUGUGGGCAAGGCACGCGGACGACGCUGCUUGAACAGUUGUGAUUCUCCACGCUAUCUCCGCGCUACAAAUUCGUGUGCGUACGCCCAUUGUCCACCAGGAUGUCGUUUCGCAAGGGAUCCAUACCACGCAGUUCUCCUGCAAUCUGCAUUCCGAAAUAAUAAUCGACAUCCUUUUCAACCUCCGGCUCAUUGAGGACUGAAAUCACCUUGUUCAACAUAUCUUGCUGUGUAGCCACCCUCUUUGUCUUUUUUUUUAAUUGUUCCUGGAGCUUGACGGGGGGCUUUUCCUUUUUGGAGCUGACUCCAAGGGAUCUGUCUGAAUUUAUUAAAUUGUCAGCUAUCUUAAUAUGUUUGCUUGUGUGUUUUCAAUCAUGUGCUGAAUAAAAGUUUGCUACCUCGUC